UGCAGUCGACGAUGAAGCCCAGCUUGCUGGGUGGAUUAGUGGCGAACGGGUGAGUAACACGUGAGUAACCUGCCCUUAACUCUGGGAUAAGCCUGGGAAACUGGGUCUAAUACCGGAUAGGAGCGCCUACCGCAUGGUGGGUGUUGGAAAGAUUUAUCGGUUUUGGAUGGACUCGCGGCCUAUCAGCUUGUUGGUGAGGUAAUGGCUCACCAAGGCGACGACGGGUAGCCGGCCUGAGAGGGUGACCGGCCACACUGGGACUGAGACACGGCCCAGACUCCUACGGGAGGCAGCAGUGGGGAAUAUUGCACAAUGGGCGCAAGCCUGAUGCAGCGACGCCGCGUGAGGGAUGACGGCCUUCGGGUUGUAAACCUCUUUCAGUAGGGAAGAAGCGAAAGUGACGGUACCUGCAGAAGAAGCACCGGCUAACUACGUGCCAGCAGCCGCGGUAAUACGUAGGGUGCGAGCGUUAUCCGGAAUUAUUGGGCGUAAAGAGCUCGUAGGCGGUUUGUCGCGUCUGUCGUGAAAGUCCGGGGCUUAACCCCGGAUCUGCGGUGGGUACGGGCAGACUAGAGUGCAGUAGGGGAGACUGGAAUUCCUGGUGUAGCGGUGGAAUGCGCAGAUAUCAGGAGGAACACCGAUGGCGAAGGCAGGUCUCUGGGCUGUAACUGACGCUGAGGAGCGAAAGCAUGGGGAGCGAACAGGAUUAGAUACCCUGCUAGUCCAUGCCGUAAACGUUGGGCACUAGGUGUGGGGACCAUUCCACGGUUUCCGCGCCGCAGCUAACGCAUUAAGUGCCCCGCCUGGGGAGUACGGCCGCAAGGCUAAAACUCAAAGGAAAUUGACGGGGGCCCGCACAAGCGGCG
rnacentral:rRNA from 1 species